rnacentral:rRNA from 1 species
UACAGAGGUCUCAAGCGUUGUUCGGAUUCAUUGGGCGUAAAGGGUGCGUAGGCGGCGCGGUAAGUCGGAUGUGAAAUCUCGGAGCUUAACUCCGAAACUGCAUUCGAUACUGCCGUGAUUGAGGACUGGAGAGGAGACUGGAAUUUACGGUGUAGCGGUGAAAUGCGUAGAUAUCGGAAGGAAGACCAGUGGCGAAGGCGGGUCUCUGGACAGUUCCUGACGCUGAGGCACGAAGGCCAGGGGAGCAAACGGG